GUCUACAGCCAUGCCACCCUGAACAAGCCUGAUCCCUUCUGAUCUUGGAAGCUAAGCAGGUUCGGGCCUGGUUAGUACUUGGAUGGGAGACCACCUAGGAAGACCAGAUACUGUAGGCG
rnacentral:rRNA from 1 species